rnacentral:rRNA from 1 species
AGAGUUCGAUCCUGGCUCAGGAUGAACGCUGGCGGCGCGCCUAACACAUGCAAGUCGAACGAGAGAGAAGGAGCUUGCUUCUUCGAUCGAGUGGCGAACGGGUGAGUAACGCGUGAGGAACCUGCCUCAAAGAGGGGGACAACAGUUGGAAACGACUGCUAAUACCGCAUAAGCCCACGGGUCGGCAUCGACCUGAGGGAAAAGGAGCAAUCCGCUUUGAGAUGGCCUCGCGUCCGAUUAGCUAGUUGGUGAGGUAACGGCCCACCAAGGCGACGAUCGGUAGCCGGACUGAGAGGUUGAACGGCCACAUUGGGACUGAGACACGGCCCAGACUCCUACGGGAGGCAGCAGUGGGGAAUAUUGCACAAUGGGGGAAACCCUGAUGCAGCGACGCCGCGUGGAGGAAGAAGGUCUUCGGAUUGUAAACUCCUGUUGUUGAGGAAGAUAAUGACGGUACUCAACAAGGAAGUGACGGCUAACUACGUGCCAGCAGCCGCGGUAAAACGUAGGUCACAAGCGUUGUCCGGAAUUACUGGGUGUAAAGGGAGCGCAGGCGGGAAGACAAGUUGGAAGUGAAAUCUAUGGGCUCAACCCAUAAACUGCUUUCAAAACUGUUUUUCUUGAGUAGUGCAGAGGUAGGCGGAAUUCCCGGUGUAGCGGUGGAAUGCGUAGAUAUCGGGAGGAACACCAGUGGCGAAGGCGGCCUACUGGGCACCAACUGACGCUGAGGCUCGAAAGUGUGGGUAGCAAACAGGAUUAGAUACCCUGGUAGUCCACACCGUAAACGAUGAUUACUAGGUGUUGGAGGAUUGACCCCUUCAGUGCCGCAGUUAACACAAUAAGUAAUCCACCUGGGGAGUACGACCGCAAGGUUGAAACUCAAAGGAAUUGACGGGGGCCCGCAC